GAUGAAGAACGUAGCGAAAUGCGAUAAGUAGUGUGAAUUGCAGAAUUCAGUGAAUCAUCGAAUCUUUGAACGCACAUUGCGCCCUUUGGUAUUCCAAAGGGCAUGCCUGUUCGAGCGUCAUUUGUACCCCCAAGCUUUGCUUGGUGUUGGGCGUCUUGUCUCUAGCUUUGCUGGAGACUCGCCUUAAAGUAAUUGGCAGCCGGCCUACUGGUUUCGGAGCGCAGCACAAGUCGCACUCUCUAUCAGCAAAGGUCUAGCAUCCAUUAAGCCUUUUUUUCAACUUUUGACCUCGGAUCAGGUAGGGAUACCCGCUGAACUUAAGCAUAUCAAUAAGCGGAGGA
rnacentral:misc_RNA from 1 species